UACGGGGGGGAGCAAGCGUUGUCCGGAUUUACUGGGCGUAAAGAGCGCGCAGGCGGUCGUUCAAGUCGAGUGUGAAAGCCCCCGGCUCAACUGGGGAGGGUCACUCGAUACUGAUCGACUUGAAGGCAGGAGAGGGAAGCGGAAUUCCCGGUGUAGUGGUGAAAUGCGUAGAUAUCGGGAGGAACACCAGUGGCGAAGGCGGCUUCCUGGCCUGUUCUUGACGCUGAGGCGCGAAAGCCAGGGGAGCAAAACGGGG
rnacentral:rRNA from 1 species